rnacentral:rRNA from 1 species
AUGAACGCUGGCGGCGUGCCUAAUACAUGCACGUCGAGCGAACAGACGAGGAGCUUGCUUCUCUGACGUUAGCGGCGGACGGGUGAGUAACACGUGGAUAACCUACCUAUAAGACUGGGAUAACUUCGGGAAACCGGAGCUAAUACCGGAUAAUAUAUUGAACCGCAUGGUUCAAUAGUGAAAGACGGUUUUGCUGUCACUUAUAGAUGGAUCCGCGCCGCAUUAGCUAGUUGGUAAGGUAACGGCUUACCAAGGCAACGAUGCGUAGCCGACCUGAGAGGGUGAUCGGCCACACUGGAACUGAGACACGGUCCAGACUCCUACGGGAGGCAGCAGUAGGGAAUCUUCCGCAAUGGGCGAAAGCCUGACGGAGCAACGCCGCGUGAGUGAUGAAGGUCUUCGGAUCGUAAAACUCUGUUAUUAGGGAAGAACAAAUGUGUAAGUAACUAUGCACGUCUUGACGGUACCUAAUCAGAAAGCCACGGCUAACUACGUG